GAGGUGGGCAAGUUAGUUGCUCCAAAAACAAGAUAAAAUGAUUGAGUUCUUUUCUCAAGCGGGAGUCGGAGUUUAUCUGCUCUGAGAGCCCCAGCAGCUACUAUUAAUGAGUGUCUGGAAUAUGUUCCUGGCAUUUCACCUACCCUCUCUCCAAUCCUUCCAAGAAACUCACAAAGCAGGGCUUUUUCUUGAACUUCUCUUCCUCACAACAGUUAAAUCAUCCAUUUAAAGAUGUCAAACAACCUCCGUGUUCUAAGAACUAUUUACUGAGCUCUACGGAGACACAGCUACAAGCACCACAUGCUGGACCCCUGAAUAUGGAGGGCCAACUACACUAGAAACACACACGCUAGCUGAGAAAGAUGGUGGCUUAAGGGGAAAAAGAAAGAAAGGGGAGUAGAAAUAGAAGAAAAGAAAUGAGAAGGAGAAAACAAAGGAGAAGGAAAACGAGAAAAGAAAAAUGUAGGAAAAAGUUGUAAGUGCUUACUACAUGCUGUGCCCAUAUUACACAGAGCGCACAUUUUCCAGCUUAGUCUUCACAGAAUGCUGCCAGUGUUAUGAUCCUCAUUUUAACAAUGAAGAAACUGGGAGAUUUGUUCAAAGUUACACACUAGUAAAAAAGUAAAUCUUGAGUGCAACAUAGGU
rnacentral:lncRNA from 10 species